rnacentral:rRNA from 1 species
GACGAACGCUGGCGGCGUGCCUAAUACAUGCAAGUUGAGCGCUGAAGGUUGGUACUUGUACCAACUGGAUGAGCAGCGAACGGGUGAGUAACGCGUGGGGAAUCUGCCUUUGAGCGGGGGACAACAUUUGGAAACGAAUGCUAAUACCGCAUAAAAACUUUAAACACAAGGUUCAAGUUUGAAAGAUGCAAUUGCAUCACUCAAAGAUGAUCCCGCGUUGUAUUAGCUAGUUGGUGAGGUAAAGGCCUACCAAGGCGAUGAUACAUAGCCGACCUGAGAGGGUGGUCGGCCACAUUGGGACUGGGGCCCCGCCCAAGCUCCUUCGGGGGGCAGCAAUAGGGGAUCUUCGGCAAUGGACGAAAGUCUGACCGAGCCACGCCGCGUGAGUGGAGGAGGCUUUCCGAUCGUAAAACUCUGUUGGUAGGGAAGAACGUUAGUGAGAGUGGAAAGCUCAUCAAGUGACGGUACCUACCCAGAAAGGGACGGCUAACUACGUG